rnacentral:rRNA from 1 species
UGGGGAAUUUUGGACAAUGGGGGAAACCCUGAUCCAGCCAUCCCGCGUGUGCGAUGAAGGCCUUCGGGUUGUAAAGCACUUUUGGCAGGAAAGAAACGUCAUGGGUUAAUACCCCGUGAAACUGACGGUACCUGCAGAAUAAGCACCGGCUAACUACGUGCCAGCAGCCGCGGUAAUACGUAGGGUGCAAGCGUUAAUCGGAAUUACUGGGCGUAAAGCGUGCGCAGGCGGUACGGAAAGAAAGAUGUGAAAUCCCAGAGCUUAACUUUGGAACUGCAUUUUUAACUACCGGGCUAGAGUGUGUCAGAGGGAGGUGGAAUUCCGCGUGUAGCAGUGAAAUGCGUAGAUAUGGGGAGGAACACCGAUGGCGAAGGCAGCCUCCUGGGAUAACACUGACGCUCAUGCACGAAAGCGUGGGGAGCAAACAGG